rnacentral:rRNA from 1 species
CAGCCGCCACGGGAAUACGUAGGGGGCAAGCGUUGUCCGGAAUCAUUGGGCGUAAAGCGCGUGUAGGCGGCUCGGAAAGUCUGGUGUGAAAACUUGAGGCUCAACCUCAAGGUUGUCGCUGGAAACUAUCGAGCUCGAGUCCGGAAGAGGAGAGUGGAAUUCCUGGUGUAGCGGUGGAAUGCGCAGAUAUCAGGAGGAACACCAAUGGCGAAGGCAGCUCUCUGGUACGUGACUGACGCUGAGACGCGAAAGCGUGGGGAGCGAACAGGAUUAGAUACCCCCGUAGUCCCUGUCUCUUAUA